GACAGAGGGUGCAAACGUUGUUCGGAAUUACUGGGCGUAAAGGGCGCGUAGGCGGUCCGAUAAGUCCCGUGUGAAAGCCCCCGGCUCAACUGGGGAACUGCACGGGAAACUGACGGACUUGAGCUCGGGAGAGGGAAGCGGAAUUCCGGGUGUAGCGGUGAAAUGCGUAGAUAUCCGGAGGAACACCGGUGGCGAAGGCGGCUUCCUGGACCGACACUGACGCUGAGGCGCGAAAGCUAGGGGAGCAAACGGG
rnacentral:rRNA from 1 species